rfam:Glossina morsitans morsitans, isolate Yale, WGS project CCAG01000000 data, contig: ctg10012347
AGGUCCCACCAUCAGAAGCGUGCUAACAACAACCAGCCUCCACGAAGUAAUACCUAACGGUGGUCCCGCGGGGGAGACUGUUCGAAGAAAUGUUUGGAGGGUAGUUUUUAGUACGCAAGCGGCGUGGAUGACGAAUCGUGCAUGCUGCUACUAAGAAGCAGUACCUUUUGAAGAUUUUCUAUCUCCAGCUCGC